rnacentral:rRNA from 1 species
AACGAACGCUGGCGGCAUGCCUAACACAUGCAAGUCGAACGAGACCUUCGGGUCUAGUGGCGCACGGGUGCGUAACGCGUGGGAACCUGCCCUUAGGUUCGGAAUAACUCCCCGAAAGGUGUGCUAAUACCGGAUAAUGUCUUCGGACCAAAGAUUUAUCGCCUUUGGAUGGGCCCGCGUUGGAUUAGCUAGUUGGUAGGGUAAAAGCCUACCAAGGCGACGAUCCAUAGCUGGUCUGAGAGGAUGAUCAGCCACACUGGGACUGAGACACGGCCCAGACUCCUACGGGAGGCAGCAGUGGGGAAUAUUGGACAAUGGGCGAAAGCCUGAUCAAGCAAUGCCGGGUGAGUGAUGAAGGCCUUAGGGUUGUAAAGCUCUUUUACCCGGGAUGAUAAUGACAGUAACGGGAGAAUAAGCUCCGGCUAACUACGUG